ACGACGGGUGGCUGCAGUGGGGAAUAUUGGACAAUGGGCGAAAGCCUGAUCCAGCCAUGCCGCGUGUGUGAAGAAGGCCUUCGGGUUGUAAAGCACUUUCAGUGGGGAAGAAAGCCUUGGGGCUAAUACCCUCGAGGAAGGACAUCACCCACAGAAGAAGCACCGGCUAACUCCGUGCCAGCAGCCGCGGUAAUACGGAGGGUGCGAGCGUUAAUCGGAAUUACUGGGCGUAAAGCGCGCGUAGGCGGUCUGAUAAGCCGGUUGUGAAAGCCCCGGGCUCAACCUGGGAACGGCAUCCGGAACUGUCAGGCUAGAGUGCAGGAGAGGAAGGUAGAAUUCCCGGUGUAGCGGUGAAAUGCGUAGAGAUCGGGAGGAAUACCAGUGGCGAAGGCGGCCUUCUGGACUGACACUGACGCUGAGGUGCGAAAGCGUGGGUAGCAAACAGGAUUAGAUACCCGAGUAGUC
rnacentral:rRNA from 1 species